rnacentral:rRNA from 1 species
UGUGUGGUCAAGUUAUUAAGGGCUGGUGGUGGAUGCCUAGGCGCGCAGAGGCGACGAAGGACGUGGCUAGCUGCGAUAAGCUUCGGUGAGGAGCUAAACAUCCUGUGACCCGAAGAUUUCCGAAUGGGGCAACCCAGUAAUCUUGUGCUGAAUCCAUAGGCACAACGAGGCUAACCCGGGGAAGUGAACCAUCUCAGUACCCGGAGGAAAAGAAAUCAAACGAGACUCCGUCAGUAGCGGCGAGCGAACGCGGAUCAGGGCAAACCGGGAGGAUUCGUCCUCUCGGGGUUGUAGGACCCCGAUGUGGGACCAUAGAGGCUAGCGGAACUACCUGGAAAGGUAGCCGAUACAGGGUGAGAGGCCCGUACGCGAAAGCCAACAUGGCCCUAGGGAGUUCCUGAGUACCACAGGGCACGGGAAACCCGGUGGGAAGCAGGGGGGACCACCCUCCAACCCUAAGUACUACUGCGCGACCGAUAGUGAACAAGUACCGUGAGGGAAAGGUGAAAAGUACCCCGAUGAGGGGAGUGAAAUAGUACCUGAAACCACCAGCUUACAAGCCGUUCGAGGGCUAUGUUUCAAGCCUGAGAGCGUUCCUUUUGAAUGAUGAGUCCGCGAGUUACGGUGUGUCGCAAGGUGAAAGCCGAAGGGAAACCGAGUGCUAAAUGUGCGAUGAGUGGCAUGCUGUAGACCCGAAGCGUUGUGAUCUACAUAUGGCCAGGAUGAAGCGCGGGUAAUACUGCGUGGAGGUCCGGAUCCACCAGAGUUGAAAAUCUGGGGAAUGAGCUGUGUGUAGGGGUGAAAGGCUAAUCAAACUGCGUGAUAGCUGGUUCUCCCCGAAAAAUAUUUAGGUAUUGCCUCGAGGAAUUCACUGCUGGGGGUAGAGCACUCAAUGGGUAAGGGGCCUUACCGGGUUACCAAACCUGAUGAAACUCCGAAUACCGGCAAGUGUUACCUCGGGAGGCAGGCUGCGGGAGAUAAGUUUCGUAGCCGAGAGGGAAAGAGCCCAGAUCGCCAGCUAAGGUCCCCAAAUUCAUGCUAAGUGGAAAACGAUGUGGGUUUGCUUAGACAACCAGGAGGUUGGCCUAGAAGCAGCCAUCCUUUAAAGAAAGCGUAAUAGCUCACUGGUCAAGUGAACCUGCGCGGAAAAUAUAACGGGGCUCAAGCAUGAUACCGAAGCUGCGGGUACUCGAAAGAGUGCGGUAGGGGAGCAUCGAAGGCUGUUGAAGGUCGACCGUAAGGACGGCUGGAGGUACUUCGAGGGCAAAUGCGGACAUGAGUAGCGAUAAAACGGGUGAGAAACCCGUUCGCCGGAAGCCUAAGGUUUCCUGGGCCAGGUUCAUCCUCCCAGGGUCAGUCGGGUCCUAAGCCGAGGCCUCCGGGCGUAGGCGAUGGGAAGCAGGCGAACAUUCCUGCACCACCGAGUAGGCGUGGAAACCAGCGGGGACGGAGAAGGCUAGGCGAGCCGGUGGCUGGAAUGCCCGGUUCAAGCACGUAGACGGUCGGGGUACGAACAAAGGCCCUGGCAACGUCGAGAUGCGAUGAGCGUAGGAGGCUUCGGCCUCCUGCCAAGUCGCCGAUGCCCAGCUUCCGAGAAAAGCCGCGGGUGGAGCCGUUUCGGUGUCCGUACCGUAAACCGACUCAGGUAGGUAGGUGGAGAACACCAAGGCGCUUGAGACAACCCUGGUAAAGGAACUCUGCAAAUUGACACCGUAACUUCGGGAUAAGGUGUGCCCCGCGAGGUGAAAGCGCGAGCCGCUGGAGCUUCGAGGGGUCGCAGCUAAGCGGGGGUAGCGACUGUUUACCAAAAACACAGGCUUCUGCGAACUCGAAAGAGGAAGUAUAGGAGCUGACUCCUGCCCGGUGCCGGAAGGUUAAGGGGAUUGCUCAGUGCAAACGAAGGCUUGAACCGAAGCCCCGGUAAACGGCGGCCGUAACUAUAACGGUCCUAAGGUAGCGAAAUUCCUUGGCGGGUAAGUUCCGUCCUGCACGAAUGGAGUAACGACUUCCCCACUGUCUCUACCAGGGACUCAGCGAAAUUGACCUCGCCGUGAAGAGACGGCGUACCCGCAGAGGGACGGAAAGACCCCAUGAACCUUCACUGCAACUUGGCACUGAUCUUCGGGAUGGAUUGCGUAGGAUAGGUGGGAGACGAUGAGGCCAGGCUUCCGGGCUUGGCGGAGUCAACCUUGAAAUACCACCCUGUUCAUUCUGAAUGUCUAACCGCGGCCCGUUAUCCGGGUUCGGGACACUGUCUGGUGGGCAGUUUGACUGGG